CGUCGGUUCGGCGUCGUGCCCUUCUUUGUUUUGGUUGACGCGCACUUGCCUUUGCAGGACGCGCUCGCACCAUCGAGACACACAGACACACACACACGCACGAAUCUAAUCAAGCUCCUACGCAGAAGCAUAUAACGUUUUUCGGUGUCGCAGCACAGCCGCGUUUCGUUUUCCUCCUUCGCAAGCUUCUGCGGAGGAACACGAGCGGAACAGCACACACCCAUACACAGACAGACAGACACACAGACACACAGACACACAUAACCAGCCAUGCCGGCAUUGAAGCCGUUGCUCGUGUUCGGCCUACGUGGCACUCUCGUGGAGCGCAUCCAUGUACGCCACGUCCCGGAGGGUAUGCCAGCGGCGGACUUCACUGUGGGCUUGGUGAAGGUGUGGCUGCGCCCCCACAUGAUCGAGGUUCUUAACGAACUACAGGAGCACUGCCGCCUCGCGAUUUGGAGCUCCACCACUGCGCGCAACACACACCCGCUCGUGAAUGCGGUGUUUGGGUCAAACAUGACGCUGCAGGCUGGUGCAGGAACCGCGACGGCAGCACCGGCUAAGCAGGAAGCUGUCAGCACGUCUGCUGGAGCUGUAGCCUCCGCCAGCAACGGGCGCGGUGGGCGCUUCGGUAAAAAACGGCGGCCGACCACAGCCGAGGCGGCGGAUGAGGAGAGCGUGCCAGAGGCCGCCAUCAACGUUCCUCAGCCGCAGCGAGUUCACUUUGAGUUUGUCUGGACGCGCGAGCACACGCGUGUGGACGACUUCCGUCGCCUCAACGCGGCCGUUAGCGAUGACAAUCACGCCACAGUGAAAGACCUGUCUCAGGUGUUUGCGCAGUUUCCGUCUAUCGCGCAGCCGCAGAAUACAGUGCUCAUCGACGACACCCCCAGCAAGGCGAAGAUGCAGGCAGACAACUACCUGUGGCUCGAUACGUGCAACAGCCUGCGCAUCAAAGACGAAACGGGUUUGUACCGUCUGCGCGACUUUGUGAUGAAGGAAUUAGUGCCAGCGGAUGAUGUGCGCGAACUGCUGCCGCGCCGCAUCCGGAUGUGAAGUGCAGACGUCUGUGCGUGUGUGCGUGUGCGCAAGAGGACUCUUCACACCUUUUUAACGAAAUUCUGGUGUUUACGGUGAUGGCGCGUACGUGCAUAUCUGUGCCGGUGCGCAGAGGGCGGCAGCGAACCGGGGCGCAAGUAUGCAGAGAGACGCC
rnacentral:misc_RNA from 1 species